UACCACUGUAUAAUAAAUAGAAGUUCACCUGAGCACAUCUAGAGCUUCUUUUGCCCACAGCCAAAUGUGGGGUGAGGGGAGCACCCUGUUGCAACAGUUUAAUAAAGAUCAGGCUUACUAGCUGCUUUGCUUCUCAAUAUUCUCUGGCUGGCCUGUUAUUUUCUCCUACCGAUGGAUAACCUACAAAGUACUCUAUAAGGGCUCUUGUGUACUCCAUAAGGGAACAAGACAAGAUUUUGUUUACAACAUCUCUUUUGUUUCCUCUUCAUGAGGUGACUGUUGGUUUCUGCUUUCCUUCACUGUGCAGCGAAAGUGCUUGUCACGAGACAGGUGUUGACAUUCCACAGUCUGUACUGUUGGAGUUUCUCACGGGAAAGGGAGACUGGAUGUGACGUACACUGGUUUCCUGUUUUUCACUGUGUGAUUCUCUCCGAGCUGUCGAGGAGAGAGGAUGCAUUCUUCUGCUCCGGCAGAGGCAAGAUGUCUUUCUGUAAUAUACCAGCUUUGAACUGUAAAUAAAGCAAUAUAGAGUAUGCAGCACGUAUUCCUCAUCCUUUCGCUGGGCAACCAGACUCUGCUUAAAUCAACACGUGGUUAUGGGCUCCAGAAGUCGAAUCGGAGUGCCGGCAGAGGAUCGGAAUGCAGAGGGACAGAUCGGAACGGAAUCUGCUCUGCGCGUAGAAGUGAUUGAUGAGGUAUGUGCUACUGCUCCGGGCAGCCUGCCAGCUUCAAGUUAAUGGCUUUAUGGCUGGACUUUGAACUUUUAAAGCCGGUUUUGCCGGGAAUAGGCAAAAGGCUCCCAGGCACAAGUCACUAUGCUGGGGAAAUCGAAGUAACUUUUAAGUGUGCCUUUGUAAUGAGGCAGCUGCAGCAGUGACGCAGCAAGAUUUAAAGCAGCAUUUAUGACGCUGAAGGCUAAUGCCAGAGUCAUGAUGGCCCUUCAGGAUGCUUGUGGGAUUCCUAAGCUCAACAAGAAAAAUUACAGCGACUGGGUUCAGUAUGCAGAGGCAAUUCUGCGGAAAGAGGGUUUGUUUGAGGUGAUUACAGAAACCCCCCCAGUUCCAGUUACAGAUGCAUGGAAAGCUAAGGAUUCCAAAGCAAGGGGAACUCUUACAUUGAUAGUAUCCCCAGAAGAGCUCUGUCUAUUGCGUGAUAAGACCUCAGCCAGAGAAAUUUGGGACUUUGUUACUGCCGUGAUUUUAAAUGAAGCAGAUCGCCGGGGUGCUAGCUGCAUGGGCAAGGGGGAGUCUUCACAGACGUCAUCCCAUAGUGCAGUGGAACCACCAGAUGGCGCCAAAGCUUUGAAGGCAGUGAAAUGCUACUCGUGUGGACGUCUAGGCCAUAUGGAAGAGGGAAUGCAGACAUCCCAGGGCCAAGACAGAGCAGCGCAGCGAAAGCUCAUCGCGCGGAAAAGGCCGAGGCAAAGGCAAAGGUCCGGUGUCUAGGACAACGCAGCACAAGGCUAUGGUUUCACGCUUCACUCCAAAGGUUGCAGAGGUCCAGAAGACGUCUAGAUCUUUCUUCGUUGUUGAUUCAGCGGCCACCCACCACAUGUGCAACGAUAAGAAACUGUUUGUGUCUUUUACACCGCAGGAAGGUGCGAUUCACCAGGCGGAUGACCACACUAUUCCCAGUAAAGGCUACGGAACUGUUGUUCUUCACAGUUUGGACUUAUCGAUACAGAAUGUGCUUUACGUGCCAGACGCCAAACAUAAUCUGCUCAGCGUUGGACAGCUGAAUGAGCGGAACAUUGACGUUUCCUUCAAGAACAAGAAGUGCAUCAUCACAAAGAAAAAUGAUUAUGUAUUGCAUGCAGAAUAUGUUGAUCAUUUGUUUGUUUUAUAUUAUGAUGAUGUGGUGCAGGAUGACACUUGUUGCAUUGCAGGUUCUAACAAAAGUUUGCAUGCAGAAUGUAUUCACGAUUUUCAUCGAAAAUUUGGUCAUUUGCAUUUCGAGGCAGUAUCUAAAAUGCCUGCCUUGGUUGAAGGUAUGACUAUUAAACCCUGCAGGUACCACAUGAAGUGCAAAGCAUGCGCAGCAAACAAGGUGAAAAUGGCUGCGAAAGGUAAGGUGUCUAGUAGGAAAGCUACAGAACCAUACCAGGUUGUUCAUGCUGAUUUGGUUGGACCACUAGCGCCCUCUUUGGGUGGAAAUAGAUACUUCAUGGUUCUCAUUGAUGCAUUUUCUAGAUAUAUUUUUGUGUACAAUCUCAAGCAGAAAUCAGAGGCUUUUCCUAGGUUCAAGGAAUUCUGUGCUUGGUUAGAAAAUGUGCAUAGUAAGAAGAUAAAGACUCUUUUCAGUGAUCGCGGGGGGGAAUUCACUUCUCAGCAGUUUGAAGCUUUUCUGACUGAGAAAGGAAUUCAACACGAUUUGUCUAGUCCUCGCUCGCCAUGGCAGAAUGGACUCGCGGAACGGGCAAAUCAGACAUUGCUUCAAGGGUUAAAAACCUUACUUCAUGAUGCCAAUCUUCCAGAGAGUUAUUGGGCCGAAUCUCUCUCGUGUUUUGUUUACAGUUACAAUCGCAGGUUAUCUUCAGCGAUUGGUUGUACCUCUAUGAGAAGAUGUUUGGCAAGAAGCCAUACAUCAAACACAUGAAGAUUUUGGUUCUGACAUGUGGGUUCGCUCACCACAAAACUCCAAGUUAGACAAGCGUGGAUUGCAUGGUAUCUUUCUAGGUUAUCAGAAAGGGUCUUACAGAAUAAUGAUGACUGACUCUAAGACAAUUAAGCUCACGAGAAGUGUCGAGUACAAUGCAAAGUGGGGGAGAAUGUGGGAAUUUUCCAAUGUUAUCCUGAUGACGGUGAUGAGACUGAGGAUAGUCAAGCAACCACAACAGCCCACACCCACUGAUGAAGGUUCUGAGUCUGAAUCUGAAACUGAAUCGGGUGAUUCAGAGGAUUUCAAGAGUGCGAAAGCCUCUAUGCGACCCUCUGAAAGCUCUGAUCAAGAAUUGGAGGAACCAUUGUUCACAAUAGGUCGUUUUUCUCCUAAGAAGGAAGAGGAGAGUGUUGAAGACUUAAGGCUAAUUCGUAGGUCACAGAGAGCCACAAAAGGCAAACCUCCAAAGAGAUUUGCUGAUGAGUUUGCUACGAUAGCAGUAACAGCUGUUAAAAGCUCCAAGAAGGUAUUUGAACCUUCAAGUUUCCAAAAAAUCCAGGGUUUGGAUUCAAAGGAAGCUGAGCCAUGGUUAAAUGCCAUGAAGGCUGAGCUUGAUUCCUUAGAAAGGAACAAAACAUGGGAGCUAGUUCCAGUAGUUCCAGGAAUGAAACUGCUUGGAAGCAAAUGGGUCUUCAAAGCGAAGACAGAUCAAAAUGGCAAGAUAGUCAGACACAAAGCCAGAUUGGUAGCCAGAGGUUUUGCACAGGUACCAGGUGAAGACUAUCACGAGACCUAUUCACCCACAGUGAGAUAUGAAAGCAUUAGGCUUAUGCUUAAGCUAGCUGCAGAGGAAAAUCUACACAUUAGUCACCAUGAUAUUAAUACAGCUUUUCUGUACGGAUCUCUAGAUGAAUCACUUUAUAUGCUUCCACCUGAUGGCGUACAGGUAAAACAGGGAUUUGUUUGUGCUCUGAAGAAAUCCCUUUAUGGUCUCAAACAAAGUGCACGGUGUUGGCACACAAACUCACUGAAGUAUUGUUUUCUCUAGGUUUUCAGCAAGGGAAAGCUGAUCCAUGUGUAUUUGUCAAAGAGGAGGGGCAAAAGAAACUGUACUGUUUGUUUUAUGUUGAUGAUUUAUUAUUCUUUUGGAAAGAUGUUGCAAUGUACAAUAGCGCCCUAGCUCAACUGAAAGAGCACUUUGACAUGAAAGAUCUUGGUGAGGUAAACAACUACCUAUCUCUGGAAAUAGAGAAAGAUCAAGAUGGUAACAUUCUAGUACACCAGUCACGGAAAAUUGCUGAUGUGUUAAGCAAACUAAAUCUGAUGGAUGCUAACCCUGUAGACACACCGAUGACAACAGGUUAUCAGGUAGAUGACACUGAAGAAGCAUUUUCUGACACUACACUGUACAGGAGUGUGCUAGGCAAGCUAAACUUCAUUGCCAGAUGUUCAAGACCAGACAUUGCUGUUAGCUGUAAUUUGCUAAGCAGACAAGUCAACAAUCCUAGUGUCAAGGAUUGGAAAGCUCUGAAACGCAUAGCGCGGUAUUUGAAAGGCACUAUGCAUUACAGACUGAGAUUUAACAAUCAGAAGUCUGGUGGUCUUGAGAUAUUUGCAGAUGCAAGUUUUGGAAGUGACACUACAGACAGGAAAAGUAACGUCUGGAGUUUGCUACAUGUACAAUCAGAGUCUAUUUGAUUGGUCAUGCAAGAAGCAAACAACAGUUAGCUUAAGUACUUGUGAAGCCGAACUGAAUGCACUGUCUUAUUCACUUAAGGAUUGUGAAUGGUUAGUACAAUUGUGCAAAGAUAUGAAAAUUCCUGUCAAAUGUCCAAUCCAGGUUUACCAGGACAACAAAGCAUGUUUGGCUUUGCUGAAGUCUGAAGGUUGUGAGCAAAGCACAAAGCACUUGCAAUUAAAGUUGCAGCAUGCUAGGGAAUGUAUUCAGAAGGGACUCGUAACGGUGUCCUAUAUGCCAGGUAAUGAAAUUCCUGCUGAUGUAUUGUCCAAGAUUGUAUCGAGGGAUCAACACUGUACCUAUGUGCAGAAGUUGGGUUUGUACUGAUAUUGUACGAACACGCUGCCCAGUGAUGUUCACAGAAAGGGGGAGGAUGUUGGUUUCUGCUUUCCUUCACUGUGCAGCGAAAGUGCUUGUCACGAGACAGGUGUUGACAUUCCACAGUCUGUACUGUUGGAGUUUCUCACGGGAAAGGGAGACUGGAUGUGACGUACACUGGUUUCCUGUUUUUCACUGUGUGAUUCUCUCCGAGCUGUCGAGGAGAGAGGAUGCAUUCUUCUGCUCCGGCAGAGGCAAGAUGUCUUUCUGUAAUAUACCAGCUUUGAACUGUAAAUAAAGCAAUAUAGAGUAUGCAGCACGUAUUCCUCAUCCUUUCGCUGGGCAACCAGACUCUGCUUAAAUCAACAGUGACUGCUUCACCCUACCUUAUGGGUGGGCUGGCUCUGGGGAGUGGGGAGCAUGUAUAGAGAUGAUAGAAUGGAUUGCAUGCCUGUAAUAGUAAUAGUAGUAGUAGUAGUAGUAGUAGUAGCAGUAGUAAUGUAUUAUUUCUACCCCGCCCAUCUGGCUGGGUUUCCCCAGACGCUCUGGGAGGCUUUCUAAAGAACAUUAAAAACAGAAUAAAACUUUAAACAUUAAAAACUUCCCCUAAACAGGGGAAGUUUGUGUUUGCCUGUGUGUUUGUGGAGGAGGAGAGGGAAGGAAGGAAGGAAGGAAGGAAGGAAGGAAGGAAGGAACAGGCUGUUGGGAUAAAGACAGAAAAGGAAAGGAGAAGGAAAGUGGAAGUCUGAUCUGUUUUGGUUCAGUAGUUUAUGGAUUUGGCAAGUGACUCAUGAAAUGCACCACAAUGAAUCACAAAAAUGGGAUUUAUCAGAACCAAGUAUUUUUUUAAAAAAAAUAAAAAUAUACCAUUUUUUAAAUUAAAGCUGUGCAGUGUUACUGAUCUUGCUUUUAGUUUCUUUCUUUUUUUUAAAUGAUAUUUAUUAGAAUUUCAAAGGAUAC